AAUCAACGCUGGCGGCGCGCCUAACACAUGCAAGUCGAACGAGAAAGGGGAGCAAUCCCUGAGUACAGUGGCGUACGGGUGAGUAACACGUGGAUGAUCUACCCCUUAGUCUGGAAUAACCAUGGGAAACCGUGGCUAAUACCGGAUAAGCUUGAGAGAGGAAAGCAGCAAUGCGCUGAGGGAGGAGUCCGCGGCCGAUUAGCUAGUUGGCAGGGUAAAAGCCUACCAAGGCAAAGAUCGGUAGCCGGCCUGAGAGGGCACACGGCCACACUGGCACUGAAACACGGGCCAGACUCCUACGGGAGGCAGCAGUGGGGAAUCUUGCACAAUGGGGGAAACCCUGAUGCAGCGACGCCGCGUGAGCGAUGAAGCCCUUCGGGGUGUAAAGCUCUUUCGGCAGGGAAGAUGGUGACGGUACCUGCAGAAGCAGCUGCGGCUAACUACGUGCCAGCAGCCGCGGUAAUACGUAGGCAGCAAGCGUUGUUCGGAGUUACUGGGCGUAAAGGGUGUGUAGGCGGUUGUUUAAGUUUGGUGUGAAAUCUCCCGGCUCAACUGGGAGGGUGCGCCGAAUACUGAAUGACUAGAGUGCGGGAGAGGAAAGUGGAAUUCCUGGUGUAGCGGUGAAAUGCGUAGAUAUCAGGAGGAACACCGGUGGUGUAGACGGCUUUCUGGACCGUAACUGACGCUGAGACACGAAAGCGUGGGUAGCAAACAGGAUUAGAUACCCUGGUAGUCCACGC
rnacentral:rRNA from 1 species